AGAUCAGAGACCAGAGGGACAUGGGGUCUUUCUUCAGUGGUGACGCUGGGUUUUCUUCACAUUUCCUUCCACAAAGAAGCAGCACAAAAGAGCGCUGGACUUGCGGCUAGUCGGAGCUCUGCGUCCACCCGCCCGUGUGACCUGAUCCGGUUCCUAGGACCUCACUGCAGAAGAUGCUGAAGCAUGUGAGAACUGCUGUACCCCGCCAAACGGAGGGGCAGGAGGAAAAGGCCACUGAGAUUCUUUCAAGUCCAGAUCAACGGGUAUGAGUCUUUCUUCCGAAGCUGAUGAACGACACAAACGGUGGAGGAACCACUUCAGAUAUUUUUUAAGUCACCAUGAAGAAGUAUGAAUAUUUUUAUAGGCUUAUGCUUUACAAAUUGAAUUAACAAUCAUUAUCCCACUGAUUCUGCAAAGUACAGAUGAGAGGCAAAGAAAGACAAGGCAAAUAAAACUGGCCAGGGUAGUUUUUCCUCCAGAGUUUGUCGCUUCCCAUUCUAUCCAUCCUCCUCUUUUUCCUCUCUUUGCUAACUGCUGAUGCAACUACCUUUACUUUGGCCCCGUUUAUAUUCGGAAGACUUUUACUAAGAUUACUUUGCGAAGAAACAUAGGAUUCUUGUUUUGGAACCUGCCAUUAAGUGCAAAGUCCAAGAUAAACCAGAGCAGUGAAUUGAAAGUUCUAAAUCCGCUUAAAAGCUUCUGUGUUCCACAAUUCACUGCAGAUUUAAAAAAAGAAACCUGGCUACUAAAUCACUAUGCUUAGAGCCAGACAAGCAAGAUCACAACACACUACAAUAUCUUGGUAGAAUGACUUAUUAAGUGCACUUAAGUGUACACUAAAAUGCAAAGGAAAGUUAACACAGCAGGUUGAACCCAGUGCUUCCUAACCAUCCCAUCUCUUUCUUCAUGUUGAGCUUCUUCGCCAGUAUGGGCAAGUACCACUAUCUUCAUUUCCAGAUGUGUUCAGAUAAGCAUAAAUCUCUGCUAGGAACACAAAUAAUGCCAGCAUCAACUAUCAGGAAGGAACCAGAGUGUCCUAACUUCUUAGGUAGAGAGCCAUUUCCUGCAACUUCUAAUUUCAC
rnacentral:lncRNA from 10 species